rnacentral:snRNA from 1 species
UGAGUUUCUUGAUUAGUAA